AUUGUGAAACGUAUUAUCUUCUAGCUUACCAAAGGGUUUCUCCACCUGGGGAACUCGAGGGACACUCAAUCAGGUUGCGACCUUUGAUCAAUGGCCGUGCGGGUCAGAGGUAAGAGGAUUAUAACGGUGCUAAGCGUGUAGUAGCCUUUGUUUGCCCAGGUUCGGACGCGGGUUCGAUUCCCGCCACCUCCAUUC
rnacentral:tmRNA from 1 species